ensembl:lncRNA
CUACUUUGUGCCAAGGCCUGUACUCAUCACUGACAUUUAAAAAUGAAAAGAAAGAGGGAGAAAUAGGUAAAGGGCCACUGUAUGGUGAGGAACUGAAAAUAAAUUUUUGGCGGUGAGCACGGUAUUGUGUGUGUGAAGUCGACAUACAAGGCACAUAUGAGAGUUAUAUAAUGUCAUAAAUCACUGUUGCCACAAUUAAAAUAACUUGAAAAAUUAAAAAGGAAAACUGAAUAUCAACUUGGAGUGGGGAAGAGUGUACAGCAGCAAUUAAAUUCAUCGUAAUGCCCAGUUCAAAGAGUACAAAAUGCUAAAUCCAGAGGGAUGAGGAUGAGGUGAGAGCUGGGGAGAAGAGAGGUCUCUGGGGGCACAGGAAGCUUCACUUUUCUCAGUUCCUGCAACCAGGCGAUCCUGAUGGAGGGAAGAUGGUGCAGAGGAGAAAGGAUGAUGAGAGAUGUCGCCAGAGAUGCAGAAAAGGACAUUGUGGCAGGAACUAAGGUCAUUCACAACAUGGAAGACAAAGUGGCUCCUACUGGCAGCUUCCCACAGUGCCUGUCAAUUGCACGGGGCGAUCAGGUUCAUGAGUUUGUAUGAAGUGGAUCUAGAAACCGGCGGUAGCAGAACAGUCUUGUGUAUCUACACACUCAGAGUUCCCAGCCUUCCUUACUUGAGUGCGUGCGCCACUUCACACAAGAUUCUCCAGGGAGUUUUACCCAAGAAAGGAAAAGGGAACGUGUUCUUCCAGGGCACCAGCACGUCGUGUCCAAACGAGGAAAUUACAUGGUUUCCAUGUUACAAUCCAACCCAAGGCCCAUUUCAGCUUUCACCAGCUGCCCCAACUUUAGGGAGACGUCUUUCCCCAUUCUGAUCCAGGUUUCUUUUCCUGGAACCAUGACUGAUACUUUUCCUCAUUUUCACAACCUUGGUAGAUGCAAAGUUCACAAGGUAAAUACGACCUGAGUCAUAAGAUAAAUAUGGCCUUUUCUGUAUUAUAACAUGU